rnacentral:misc_RNA from 1 species
GAUGAAGAACGCAGCGAAAUGCGAUAAGUAAUGUGAAUUGCAGAAUUCAGUGAAUCAUCGAAUCUUUGAACGCACAUUGCGCCCCUUGGUAUUCCGAGGGGCAUGCCUGUUCGAGCGUCAUUAUAACCCCACAAGCUCAGCUUGGUGUUGGGGCCUGCUGCACUGGCAGCCCUUAAAAUCAGUGGCGGCGCCAUCUGGCUCUAAGCGUAGUAAUUCUUCUCGCUAUGGAGUCCUGGUGGAUGCUUGCCAUCAACCCCCAAUUUUUCUAUGGUUGACCUCGGAUCAGGUAGGGAUACCCGCUGAACUUAAGCAUAUCAAUAAGCGGAGGA